UGAGUGAAACGUGGUCAAGGAACUCGGCAUAAUGAUCCCGUAACUUCGGAAGAAGGGAUGCCAGAGACGGUGUAGGGAACACCGAAGCUGUUUCUGGUCGCAGCGAAUCGGCCCAAGCGACUGUUUAGCAAAAACACAGGUGUGUGCCAAGCCGCACAAGGCGCCGUAUACACACUGACGCCUGCCCGGUGCCGGAAGGUUAAGGGGAGAGGUUAGCCGCAAGGCGAAGCUUUGAGCCGAAGCCCCGGUAAACGGCGGCCGUAACAAUAACGGUCCUAAGGUAGCGAAAUUCCUUGUCGGGUAAGUUCCGACCUGCACGAAUGGCGUAACGACUUGGGCACUGUCUCGACCACGUGCUCGGCGAAAUUGCAGUCUCGGUGAGGAUUCCGAGUCCCCGCGACAGGACAAAAAGACCCCAUGCACCUUUACUGUAGCUUGUCAUUGGUCGUUGCACAUCGCUGUGUAGCAUAGGUGGGAGUCGAUGAGCCCGGGGCGCUAGCUCCGGGGGAGACAUCAGUGAAAUACCACCCUGCGUCGUGCGACGCCCUCACCACGGCGGGAACACCCCGUCUGGGACCGUGGCAGGUGGGCAGUUUGACUGGGGCGGUCGCCUCCGAAACAGUAACGGAGGCGCGCGCAAGGUUGGCUCAGCGCGGACGGUACUCGCGCUUCUAGAGUGUAACGGCAGAAGCCAGCCUGACGGUGAGAUCGACGGAUCGAGCCGCCACGAAAGUGGGCCGUAGUGAUCCGGUAGCCCGGGGUGGAGCGGCUAUCGCGCAACGGAUAAAAGGUACGCUGGGGAUAACAGGCUUAUCGCGCCCGAGAGUUCACAUCGACGGCGCGGUUUGGCACCUCGAUGUCGGCUUAUCACAUCCUGGGGCUGGAGAAGGUCCCAAGGGUCCGGCUGUUCGCCGGUUAAAGUGGUACAUGAGCUGGGUUCAGAACGUCGUGAGACAGUUCGGUCUGUAUCCGUCGUGGGCGUUGGAGAGUUGAGGGGAGCGGACUCUAGUACGAGAGGACCGAGUCGGACGACCCGCUCGUGUCCCGGUUGUCCUGCCAAGGGCACCGCCGGGUAGCGAUGGUUGGCUGUGAUAACCGCUGAAAGCAUCUAAGUGGGAAGCACGCCCCAAGAUGAACUCUCCCGAGGCCUUGAGCCUCUUGAAGGGCCGGGGAAGACCACCCCGUCGAUAGGCCGCCCGUGGACGUCCCGCAAGGGAUUCCAAGCGCAGCGGUCCUAAUCGCCCGUACGGCUUGACUAC
rnacentral:rRNA from 1 species